rnacentral:lncRNA from 1 species
CCACCCUCUUAGGGUCCAUUUAUUGAGGCCCUAAUAUGUGUUAGAGACUUUCCUGGAUUUACUUUUCUGAUUUUUAUUACAUUAUAUUUUCAAUUGUGUGGAAUGGACUACAUAAGAUACAAAUUGUAUUUGUAUCUAUUCAAAGCAGGCACUGUGAAUAAAAGGUGCUUCCAGGAAUUCCCGGUAGAAGAGGGAGUGCAGAACGGGAGAGCCAGGGCAAAGCAGGAGGAGCGCAGCCCUGGCAGGAACAGGUCAGCAUGCAGUUUGGAUCAAUAGGGAAACACCACGUCUCUUCGUGUGCACAGGCUUCUAAACUUCAUGGGAUUGUUUUCAGCAUCACAUGAGACCCUGAGUAAAAGGCUCACUGAGCCUGGGGUAUCGUGAACGCCGCACACAUGGUUGUUAUUAUUCACUUGGCAAUGCCCUGGUCUUCCUGUUCCCUAGCACUUCCGCAGUGGCAUGGAAAGGAGAGCAUAGGAAGCCUCUUUCCAACCGGCUGGGGGCUCCGUUGUGGCCUCCGCCACCCUAGGGCCAGGCUCCCAGUGUUCCAGCUUUUUGAUGUCCCGGCUAUUUCAAUUAUACCCACUCAUUCAGGGAGUCCCAUAAGUACCCAGGUACAUUAAUUUUCUUCAAAGUGCAUCUGCAAUGCAUGGUUGGCUGACACGCUGACAGCCCCAUCGCCAGCCAGGAGCCGUGGCAGAAGCAGCCCCACAGUCAGACCGGUGAGGUUAGGCUGGGAGUUGCUUGGACGCUCACUAGUGCUUCACCAUGAGAUUCUUCCCUGGAACAACUGGUGUGUGUUCUUGGCUGAACUCGGGUCCAUUAGACGUUGACUUCACAUUGACCUAAGAAGUUAAAGGAAAAGGGUCUCUGGCUGACGGGGGCGGGAGGGGGUGGGGUGGUGGGAACCGGCCACGCCGGGAAAGGUGCAGUAGGCGCACACAAUUGACUGAAGAGGACAGCUGAGACUUAUACGGAGGAUUCCACCUACGUCUCCAGCCAGCCUUACGGUUCUCCCACUGCUGCUCAACACUAAGGGCCCUGGGAGAGCGGGUGCGGGCGGCUGAGCUCUGCCCGCAUCCCACCUCUCACGCAGCCGCGGAGUGGACUCGGCCUGGGAACCCUUGUAAUCCAAUUGCGGGAGGAGGUGCCAGGAAUGACCCCUCCACCGUGGGCUGUGGGCGUGGUGGGAGGAUCAUUUCACCCCAGGACAAGGGUGAGCCCUUAGGAAGCUGGAAUAGAUACUUCGAAGCCCGAGAUGACCACUGUCCACGGCAGCCUCAGUCCCUUUCUCCCAGAACAUCAUUUAGCUGUUGAGCUAAAUCAUCCACUUGGCCCCUUACAGCCUCGACCUCGUCACAAUGAAGUAGAUGAGGCCACAGAAGCCUUUGUUAUCUCCACGAGCAGCUGGAGCCCGGCUUUGGCUGAGCCCUGGCAAUGCCUGCUACACCCCAGACCAAGGUGAUACGUGGGUGGCUGCUGCGAUCGGAAUGUUUACACCCCCCCACCGCCAUAUUCAUCUGUUGAAAUCCUCACCCGCAAGAGACAAAGAACGCCCUUGUUUUUUCCACCACGUGAUGGCGCAGACAGAAGACAACCAGCAUCUAUGAACCAGGAAGCCCCCACCAGGCACUGAAUCUGCCCCUGCGUGGAUCUUAGACUUGCAGACUCCAGAACUAACCUUACAAUGUCUCUUCUCCAUUAAGAAAACCUACUUCAACAUCUCCAUUGGUUCUCAACAUAGAGGUCCAAAUUUUGGUCUGGAGCCAGAGACAAUAUAGGAUGAAGUUUGAUUUGUUCCAAAACCCACAGAAAUCUCUAAAAUGGAAGAAUUUUCUUAGAACCAAAAGGCAUGGAAUUGAUGACAUGAAACUGCUCUGUAAUGACAUUAACAAGCUUGGAAUACAGGGAA